rnacentral:misc_RNA from 1 species
GAAAAAAUAAAAUAUAUAAUUACGAACCCUUCAUCUGCUCGGUUAAAGGCUCUGCUCUUAUAACCAAAAUCUGUGGUCUGCUGAUCUAUCGUCAGAUUUUCUCCGAUCACCGCUGUCUCCGCCAUCAUGGCUUACGAAGACGAUCCUUACCGCGAUGAGGAUGGAGAGCCGUUGAUGGACUACGACGAAAUGCAAUCAGACGGUGGGCAAUCCCCAGAACCUCGCCACGAUGAUUUCCUGGAAGAUGAUGUUGAUGGGUGGGGUGAACAAGAGCGAGAGAGGUCUCAAACUCCGGUAUAUGACGUCGAUAAGGUUGACAAGCCGAGAAAGAGGUUGGUGAAGAAGAGCGAUUCAGGGAUGGGUGCCAAGGAAAAUUAUGUGGUGCCUGAGUUGGUUGAUGAGGAUGAAGAUGAGGGGUUUGGGAGGGAGUAUGCAAUGGAAACAAAAAAGAGGAAGAAAUUUGGCAAGGAAGGAUCUGGGAGUAGUGGGAAGGAUAGGAAGAAAUACAGUAAGGGGGAGAAGAAGUUUUCUAGUGGAGGCAAGGGGGUAAUUGGUUCAAAGUCAGGGUUGAUGAAGAAAGGGAUGUAUUCAGGGAAGUUGUCGGGGAAAGAAGAUGGCGAGGUGAAGGAGAUGUGGGAUACAAUUGCUGGGGGUGAUUCUGAGGAUGAUCAAGAGGGUCCUAGGACUGUGGAUGAUGACAACUUCAUAGAUGACAGUGGUGUAGAUCCUGCUGAUCGGUAUGGGAGUGACAAUGAACCACGCUCUCCUGGUGAUGCUCCUCAGGCAGAGGAGGGUGAAGAAGAUGAGGAAAUCAAGGAACUCUUCAAGAUGGGUAAGAAAAGGAAGAAGAAUGAGAAAAGUCCUGCAGAAAUUGCUUUGCUAGUCGAGAAUGUCAUGGCUGAGCUUGAGGUUACUGCUGAGGAGGAUGCAGAACUUAAUAGACGGGGUAAACCUGCUAUCAAUAAACUCAAAAAGUUGCCUCUUCUUACUGAGGUCCUCUCCAAGAAGCAGCUCCAGCAAGAAUUUAUAGAUCAUGGAGUACUAACUCUACUGAAAAAUUGGCUUGAACCUCUUCCAGAUGGAAGUUUGCCCAAUAUAAAUAUCCGUGCAGCGAUUUUGAGGAUAUUGACUGAUUUUCCAAUUGAUCUGGAACAGUAUGAUAGAAGAGAACAAUUGAAGAAAAGUGGUCUUGGAAAGGUUAUUAUGUUCUUAUCAAAAUCUGAUGAGGAAACUACAUCCAACAGAAAGCUUGCUAAGGAUUUGGUUGAUAAAUGGGUAAUGCUGUGAUCCAUUCAACUUUUUGUUCAUCAAAUGCUUUCAACCCUGUCUUCCAUUUAAAAAUUCUGUGCAUUCAUUUGAUAGUGAAUGCUUAAGUGGCAUUGGUUCUGUUAAAUGCAUUUUGCUGUUUGAGGAAUAAUACCAUACUCAUACUGGUGCGAUUUACGUUUCACAGUGGUUUAAAAAAUUUAUCUUAAAACAUGUUUGUUGUCUUCUGUCCUUCAUACAUUAAACUGAAUUUCAAUUUUGAUCUUGUUGACCUUCUCUUUUGCAGUUUCAAAAAGAUGCAUAGUAUUAUUUACUUAUUGGCGGACAUCCUUCUUUAAUUGGAAAAAUUGUUGACGGAAGUCGUUAUUUAUCUGAAUUCUGAAGUAUUAAAUUGCUUGUAUUUUGGAAAACCAUAAAUGCAGAGUCGGCCCAUAUUUAAUAAGAGUACACGAUUUGAGGACAUGAGAAGUAUUGAUGAUGAUCGGGCCUACAGAAGACCAACAGUGAGAAGGUAUUUUCUUCUACACAUGCGGACGUGCUUCAUUUUUUUUCCCCAAUAAAUCAAGGGAUACUUGUGCCUAAUUUGUAAGUUUGUAAUUUGUCUAUGCAUACUGAUUUUGUUCUACUUGGGUAUUUUCUUUUACUCUCUGGUAGGCCUGUAAAUAAUUCUGCAGGGAUGGAAUCUAGGGAUGGUGAUCUGGACUUGGAUAUUUCACGGGAGCGAAGAUCUGGUCAGUCAUCUGACAGACAACAUGCUUCUAGGCCAGAAGCAACUCCAUUGGAUUUUGUGGUGCGCCCUCAGUCUAAGAUUGAUCCUGAAGAGAUUAGAAACCGUGCUAAGCAAGUUGUACAAGAUCAGCGCCGACUAAAGAUGAAUAGAAAGUUGCAACAGCUGAAAGCACCGAAAAAGAAGCAACUGCAAGCAACAAAAAUUAGCGUGGAAGGUCGUGGCAUGCUCAAAUAUUUGUGAAUUGUGAAGCUUCUGCGACUCCCUUUGACUGCAAAGGCAGAAGUGGGCGAUUCUGGAGCCAAAUUAUACAGACCCUGUGGCGGAUUGUGUUCACUGUUCAGAAACAAACUGUUAUGCUAGUUGAUUUUCUGGCCUCGGGAUCAUUAAUUGGAUGGAGAUGUUUGAGCUAAUAUAAGCCCAUUUCAAUUGAUUUGGAUAAACAAUUGUCGUGAGGAUGAUUGUAUUUGUUAAAUUGUCUGACAGCUUUUCAUGUUAAAUGUUCAAGUUGAAAUGUUGAUGCUAAGUUGAUCAAAUUUCUGGAGGAAUAAAAUGUUCCCAUUUGCUCUGGAACAGUCAAUAUGGCAUUUGGGUGUGUGAAUUGGUAAUUAUUACUAAUAAUGAUUUAUAUAAUUCAUUUAGGUAGAG